GAACAGUUGUUUAUUCUCACCAGCUGGAUGACGCUGCACGUGGCUCUCAGCAUGGGCGAGGAUUAGAGAUGCUGGAGAGGCGUGGCAUGUAGAGCAUAUUCAGCAGUCUUGGAUAUUUUGAUGUAUCUACUUUCAAGCUUCUGCAAAGAUAUUCCCCACGUCUGAAUAAUUGUGCUUCCUUCCCAUGCAACUGCAGAAUAUCAGCCUGGAAUUUUUCUCAAUGGAAUUUCUGAGCUUCAAAGAGCCUUCUUUGGGAAAUAUGCACAGGAUAAACUUUCACAGAAGUGCAGCAAAAAGAGAAGUAUGGGCAGCUAUGGCUUUGUAUAUUAAUUCCACCAACUGAUUCUGUUUGAAGAGCAGAGAAAGCUUCCCUGGCAGUGAUGAUCUAUUUAUAAUCUCAAACUGCUUUAUGAAAAGGGGAAGAAAAAAAAGACCAGGGAACCCCAACAUCUACAAACAAAAACAUCUGCAAUUGUCCCACCUAGUACCUGAACCCAGAAAGGCAGGUUACUAGACCUAUAAGAUGACAAGGAGAAUGACAGAAAAGUGAAAAGAAGUUGCAGAAUGUGAAGUCAGAAAAAUUGGGUUGAAGUUCAAAAUGACUCAACUCUCUUGAGGCAUAACACCCUCAGGGGCAGGUCUGAUGCCUUAGCAGUGCUGAAUUAGAAGAAAAGUUCCUCCGUGUCGUCGUGUCCUGGCAUGAAGAAGAGCGGCUACUGAUAACAAGCACCAUCCUCUACUGAUGGGCUUCUGGGAGGCUGAGAGCCUCACAGGCAUGACUUCUUGUCUGCAGGAGAGCUCAAAAUACCUAUUUAAACAAGCACUCGUAGAGAAGACAUAUAUUUCUCACAUACAAUUUCAGCUAGGAGAUUAAGUUCAGCUAUGAAGGCAGGUUUAAAUGAAGGGGAAGGGAGGGAAAACUGAAUGGGAAGAAAUCAGAGAGGGAGACAAACCAUGAGAGACUCUGGACUCCAGGAAUCAAACUGAGGGUUACAGAAGGGAGGGGGGUGAGGGGAUUAGGUAACUGGGUGUUGGGUAUUGAGGAGGGCACGUGCUGUGACGAGCACUGGUUGCAUCCAAUGACUAAUGCAUCAUUGGACACUACAUCAAAAACUAAUGAUGUACUAUAUGUUGGCUAACUGAACAUAAUAAUAAUAAAAAAAAGAAGGGGUUACAUUAAACAGACCAAUUCCCACUGUACUAAAUCCUAAAUAAUUCAGGGAGAUUAUCUCAAUGCUUCACAAAUAAA